rnacentral:rRNA from 1 species
AUUGAACGCUGGCGGCAUGCCCUACACAUGCAAGUCGAACGGUAACGGGCCUUCGGGUGCCGACGAGUGGCGAACGGGUGAGUAAUGCAUCGGAACGUACCUUUCAGUGGGGGAUAACGUAGCGAAAGUUACGCUAAUACCGCAUAUUCUGUGAGCAGGAAAGCAGGGGAUCGUAAGACCUUGCGCUGAUUGAGCGGCCGAUGUCAGAUUAGCUAGUUGGUGAGGUAAAGGCUCACCAAGGCGACGAUCUGUAGCGGGUCUGAGAGGAUGAUCCGCCACACUGGAACUGAGACACGGUCCAGACUCCUACGGGAGGCAGCAGUGGGGAAUUUUGGACAAUGGGGGCAACCCUGAUCCAGCCAUGCCGCGUGAGUGAAGAAGGCCUUCGGGUUGUAAGGCUCUUUCGGCCGGGAAGAAAUCGCACGGGCUAAUACCCUGUGUGGAUGACGGUACCGGAAUAAGAAGCACCGGCUAACUACGUGCCAGCAGCCGCAGUAACAC